rnacentral:lncRNA from 1 species
AAAUAACCUAUCCAGAAUACUGUCAUAACCAGGAUAUCCCUAAUAACCAGGUUACUCGAGCACAUGUAAACACACUGCGAAAAGUAACCAAAUUAACAAGUAGAAGUAGGCUAUUACCUCCAAUAAAAUUAGUCAACUCAAGAAAAGGUCAAACGUCACCGCAUGAUUACGCCAACAGACUAGAGUUACCCCGUCUCUCUGGGUAAUGGUUAUAUAAUAGGACUUGUUCAAAGUUCUUGCACAACAGUUUGUGCAGUCGCUUACACUGCGCGCACGAAACACCAGAAACUAAUCUCAGAGAUGGAGGCUUUAUUCCAGACUCUGGGGUUGGAGUGGCUCGACUACAGGAGUAUUUUAAUAUUUGUUUUUCUUUUUGCCUUAUUUACUGAUAUUGUUAAAAACUGGCGACCUCAAACUACCCUCCGGGACCGUGGCCCAUACCGUUCAUUGGAGACUUGCCUCGCAUUUCACCUCCGAGGAUUCUGCUGGAUUUCGCAAAGUUUGCAAAGAAGUAUGGAAACAUCUACAGCCUUCGUUUGUUCGGAGGACAAGUCGUGGUGAUUCAUGGAUACAGGCUCGUGAAGAGGCGCUGGCCGUGAGAGGAGAGGACUACCUCGACCGACCAACCUUCCCUAUGUUUGAAGAACUCUUGGAAAUAAUGGUCUUGUGGCAUCCAAUGGCUACCUGUGGAAACAGCAGAGGCGGUUCGCUCUUCACACACUCAGAAACUUUGGUCUGGGCAAAAAGUCACUGGAGCCGGCCAUUCAACAGGAGUGCCAGUAUCUGGCCGAGGUGUUUGCACAACAGAAAGGUCAUUACACCGCAGUCCACACAUCGUUUAGAGCUGUUUGGUCUUUCUUUGUUUUCCCUGCUCUUUUUUUAA